CAGAAUCUGAAUCUAGGCACCUAUUUCCAGAGUAUUUAAGUGCCCAUCUGUACCAAGUAUCUCUCCCUACAUUCUCAUGUCAGAAUUAAAGUUUUAAUUUUCAUUUCUGUUGGAGUCAUGAUAACUGGUCCCAGAACAUCCCUAGUGAAUUAGUAGGAAAAGUCAGGGAGAUGUAGGAAAGGCUGCAUUGCUGAGGGUCUGGUGGAUAGAGCCAAGACAUAGUAAGAUUUUGGGAGACUGGGAAUGAGCAAGGGUGUCUGGAGAGAAGUAAGGAGGUCAUGUGGAGAAUAAGUGCAUACAUGGGAUUUGGAAUCAGAUAGACUGAAGUCUGAAUCCUUGAAGCAACCAUCGUACACUAUUUGUAUGGCCUCAAGGAAGUUUCCUAAUGUUAGGUUCUUAAUCUGUAAAAUAAUUUAAAAUUUAUCUACCCAACAGUUUUUUUUUCUGUGAAAAUUUAAAAAAAAUUUUUAAAGUAUGGGAAGUGCUCAGUACUGUGUUUUUAUAGUACGAUCUUCUGGUACCAUCAAGUAGUGGUGAGUGAGUGGUAAAGAUUGAUAUAGUCUGACACCGGCAUCCCAAACGCUCCAUAACCGCUCUGUUUCUUUUAAUCAACUGGAAUGUCUCUUGAUCCUCUUCUCUCUGUGUUCCAGGUGCGGUUCCAUGUGCAGGCACGGGAGAGUUCAAUCAUUUGUUCUACGUAUUAUAUCUGAGGUCCAGUCACCAGCCCUGUGUGGGGACCCUGAUUGCCCCUCAGUGGGUCAUAACAGCUGCACACUGCUUCUUACCAGAUCUCCAGGUUAUCUUACAUGGCGGUUCUCGAAGUUUCCAAGACGCCACUGGGGAGAUGAUACCCUAUAAGAAGAUCUUCAUCCACCCAAACUUCACUGUCACAUCUCCCAAAAAUGACCUGAUGCUGAUACAGUUGUCUGUGCCUCUCACCUUCUUCUCCGCGGACACUUUGCACUUACCUGCUCCUCUGAAUGAUGAAGUUAAAGAUUGCGUGAUUCACACCUGGUUACAGACUACAGAUUUUUUGGGGAAUACAGGCAGCACCCUGUACAGCAUGAAGAGUCGAUUGGAUCCUGAUUUAGACUGCAUGAGAUUGCUGGAUGGAAAGUUCCUUCCAGGCAUGUUCUGUAUGGGAAACACACUAGGCAGCAGAGACCCAUGCCAGGUACCUUUCCUCGUCUCGUUCGCCUACAGGCUCUGCAGCUUGCUUCUGUCUUUGUGUCUGUGACCUGUCACCCUUCGUCCAGGGUGUGGGAUAUACAGUUAGUUUAGA